GACGGGGUCUGGGGCAGAAAAGAAGGGAGGCUGGAGAAAUCUGGACCCGAGACGUAGUAAGUACAACUUGGCAAAUACAUGUUAGAGGAGCAGGGACCACGCUCAUCAAAAUCCAUCAUUGGGCUACCUUGGGCUUUCCGCAGUAGCCGAGCUUAACAUGAUUCUCCACUGCAGCUGCCUCUUUGAAGCGGAUCCGUGAAGUAGAAAUUUGGAGACGUAAGCUGACGUGGAAAUCUAUCCCCAUCCUUAGCAGGGAGGUGCUGGUCAUGUGACCCGAUGUUGAAAUUGACAAGCUGCUAGCUAGUCCGGGCCUUUCCCCCCCCCUUUCCUUUCCUUUCUUCCACCCCCCCCCCCCCGCCCCCGGCUUCCUUUCUUUGUAGCCACCUCAAGGGAAGCAACAGAUCGUCACUCGGUGUUCUCACCGAAAGCACGUAAUCGCCGGUGUAACUCAUGUUGGCUGGGGGGGCCUCCCGGCGCGCGGCGAGGCUGGGUGCUACCCCGUGCCAAUUGCUUGUGCUCAGCUGCACGGUCCUGGCCCUCGAGUGCGCCGAGGGCGGUGAGAGAGCUCAACUCCUGCCACCCACCACUCCCCGGGUGAGGGAAGCCACAGGCUGGGGGUGGCCGGGUGGGAGCUCGUCGCUGCGUGGCCCGUGCGUGGUCUUGGAAUCUAUUCGCCUGGAGGCUCGCGUUCGCACCUCCUUCUUGGCUGUCCCCCUCCCACAGGCUUGCUUUGGGAACCACCUCUGCCUCCGACUUUGGCCGGACCCCCUUCGGGCCAGGGUUUGCAGCCGUGGAUGUGCCUGCCUCGUGGCUCGCCCGAUUUGCACGGUGACUUGAUUACACGCUCGCAUUCAUGGUCACUUCCGAAGCGCUUUAGUGCCUUCCGUCCCUAAACCGCCAACAACCUGGGCGGCUUCCCCCGCGGUUUGUCAGGGAUCCGCAGGUCCCGGAAAGCCCUUCGUCUCACCCGGGAUCCACCUCCCUUUCAUUCUCCCUGCCGGCCUCCUCACCCCACGCCCUGCCCUUGGAGAAACCCGCUCCUCCUCGCUGUCUGCCGGGGUUCGGAGUGACACCGCAGAGCCAGAGGCGUGGGAGCUGCGCCGCUGCGCAUUGGUCCGCCCGCCCCCCUGCCGGGUCUUCUGGAGCUGAGGACUCGGGGAACCAUGGAAUUGAGGCGAGCCUUGGGCUGCUUUAGAGGCGCUGACAUCCAAGGAGACAUCUCCUGGGUAUGCUGCACCUUCCGGGAGCCCACAGCUGAGCUCCAGAGCUGUAGGGAGAGUCGGGGCAGUGAGCAGGGGGCGAGGGCCAGGGAGCCGUGGCUGAGAAAGGGGUAACACGCCACCUUUCCUCUGCAAAGCUUGAGAGCCAGGGAUGUGCAGGACAGAAACUCAGAAGGCUCGGCGCCUUUCCGGCUACUCAUCCCACAGAAGGGACACAAUGCCAGAGAAAAGAGACGUCUUUCUGAACCUCCCAGCACCUUGGGUGAAAAGAACGCUUUGAAAAGGCUAGGUUUGAGCUAAAGAGAGAGACAGAGGCCAUAGCAGCUAGUAUGAGUCUAGCUUUCUUGGGAAGAGGAGAGAAAAAAAAAUGAAAUGGUGAAAAAUGCUUGCCAUCCUGCAGGACUGAAUGAACAAUGUUUGGGAGAAGCAGAAGAGGAGGGCAUAGAGCAGUCAGGCAGGGCCAGGCGCUGGGAGGGGUCCAGCUCUGAGGCCUCCCCACACCUAUCUUCUUGGAAGGAACUCGAUGUCGCUGAAGGAAAGUUGAAAAAUGAAAAAGAAUAACCUUUUCCCUUUCCCCAUCCAGGAAAUUGCCGAAGGGGUUGCGUAUCACAAAUCAAACUACUCCGACACAUUGGUUUAAUGAACGCUUUAUUCAGGAUUGGCUGCAAGAACUUCCAUGCCCCUUGAAUCCCUGAGAGCUGAACUUGAAAUUAUUUGUGCAUCUCCAGCUUGACAUAUUUGGCCACUGUGGCUUGUGCAGAGGGCAGUAUCGGGGAGGCCCAACAGCCAAGCUGAGCCCACCCGGCUCAAGAGAACACCCGACCGGGGGGGUGCUAAGGCUGCCCUGGAAGGCCAAGUGCGAGUUGCACUUUUUGAAGAGUCCAAGAUGGGCAUGGCUGUGACAUUGGCCCUGGAGACUGGUUUCCCAUGAGUUGUUCUUUCUCAGGAGCUCCACAGUGUGAGGCCAUCUCCAGAAAACAGUCUUCAGUGUGUAUUUCCUUUUAUCGUCAACCCGGAGCCCCACGGCAGCUAAUGCAAGAGGCCAAAAAUGUUUGGGAGGAAGAAAAACAAAGGCAGGAAGUGGCGGCAGCUUGACGGUGCGUGUGUGUCUGCGGAGAAGGGAGGGAGCCCUUUCAAUCUCUUCUUGUUUUUCCAAACUUCAGGGUCCAGGCAGCCCUCGCAGGGCCGGCCCGUUGCUCCCCGCGCAGCAUUUGGAGAUGGCCACCCGGAGAGGAGAAGGCUGGCGCCGGAGCCAGCCUUGUCAGGCGGAAACGGCUAACGAGGCGAUUUGCUCAGCAAAGCAGACCAAGCCUUUCCAAACUUCAUUUGAUUUGGCCCUAAAAGUGGGGGGUUGGGGGAAUUCUGCAACACCUCCCGGACCCUCCUUGGCGGGUGGGCUGAGUGCUCCGUGGCGGGGAUUCGGGAGCCCUGCACUCCACGCGCCUUCCCAGGCGGGAUAUGGGAAUAAAGUGUGUCCAGAUGCCUCUG